rnacentral:rRNA from 1 species
AGAUCCUACGGGGCGCAGCAGUGAGGAAUAUUGGUCAAUGGUCGGGAGACUGAACCAGCCAAGCCGCGUGAGGGAGGAAGGUACAGAGUAUCGUAAACCUCUUUUGUCAGGGAACAAAGACUGGGACGCGUCCCCGGAUGAGUGUACCUGAAGAAAAAGCAUCGGCUAACUCCGUGCCAGCAGCCGCGGUAAUACGUAGGGUGCGAGCGUUAAUCGGAAUUACUGGGCGUAAAGGGUGUGCAGGCGGUUUUGCAAGGUGGAUGUGAAAGCCCCGGGCUUAACCUGGGAAAGCCAUACAUGACUGG